rnacentral:rRNA from 1 species
GAGACAGCAGCAGCCACGGGAAUACGGAGGGUGCAAGCGUUAAUCGGAAUUACUGGGCGUAAAGCGCACGCAGGCGGUCUGACAAGUCAGAUGUGAAAUCCCCGGGCUUAACCUGGGAACUGCAUUUGAAACUGUCAGGCUGGAGUCUUGUAGAGGGGGGUGGAAUUCCAGGUGUAGCGGUGAAAUGCGUAGAGAUCUGGAGGAAUACCGGUGGCGAAGGCGGCCCCCUGGACAAAGACUGACGCUCAGGUGCGAAAGCGUGGGGAGCAAACAGGAUUAGAUACCCGCGUAGUCCCUGUCUCUUAUAC